GACGAACGCUGGCGGCGUGCCUAAUACAUGCAAGUAGAACGCUGAAGGAGGAGCUUGCUCUUCUGGAUGAGUUGCGAACGGGUGAGUAACGCGUAGGUAACCUGCCUGGUAGUGGGGGAUAACUAUUGGAAACGAUAGCUAAUACCGCAUAAUAACAGUUGUUGCAUGACAACUGUUUGAAAGGUGCAAUUGCAUCACUACCAGAUGGACCUGCGUUGUAUUAGCUAGUUGGUGGGGUAACGGCUCACCAAGGCGACGAUACAUAGCCGACCUGAGAGGGUGAUCGGCCACACUGGGACUGAGACACGGCCCAGACUCCUACGGGAGGCAGCAGUAGGGAAUCUUCGGCAAUGGACGAAAGUCUGACCGAGCAACGCCGCGUGAGUGAAGAAGGUUUUCGGAUCGUAAAGCUCUGUUGUAAGAGAAGAACGAGUGUGAGAGUGGAAAGUUCACACUGUGACG
rnacentral:rRNA from 1 species